GACAUCCUUAAUUCCGCCAAUCAGUGGGGAGAACUUGCCAGAGCACAGAGAAAAUGGUGAGUUGAUGGGUGAGAAUGUGAAAGAAGAUGCUCAGCAUGAUGAUGAGGUUGUUCCUUUGGAUUCGGAUCUAUCUUUCCCCAAGUUGGUGCCUGAUGAUGUGAAAGAGACACUAGGGACAUCUGAUUCUAGUGCCUUGGAGGCUCCUGCAAGUAUCCCAGAUGAAAGCUCUGAGGUGGAAAUCAAACGUGACCCUGAACCUGAGUUGAUUGAAAAUAUUGAUAGAGAUGCUGAACAAGUGACUGACCAAAAGACUGAAAAUCCUGUGGACGAGUUUUUGAUGUCCUCAGAUCAACAAUCUUCCCAAGCUGAUGCAUCAAGUGAACCCAUCCCUCUUCCUGAAAAAACUG
rnacentral:lncRNA from 1 species